AGAGUUUGAUCCUGGCUCAGAACGAACGCUGGCGGCGUGGAUAAGACAUGCAAGUCGAACGAGAGAAUUGCUAGCUUGCUAAUAAUUCUCUAGUGGCGCACGGGUGAGUAACACGUGAGUAACCUGCCCCCGAGAGCGGGAUAGCCCUGGGAAACUGGGAUUAAUACCGCAUAGUAUCGAAAGAUUAAAGCAGCAAUGCGCUUGGGGAUGGGCUCGCGGCCUAUUAGUUAGUUGGUGAGGUAACGGCUCACCAAGGCGAUGACGGGUAGCCGGUCUGAGAGGAUGUCCGGCCACACUGGAACUGAGACACGGUCCAGACACCUACGGGUGGCAGCAGUCGAGAAUCAUUCACAAUGGGGGAAACCCUGAUGGUGUGACGCCGCGUGGGGGAAUGAAGGUCUUCGGAUUGUAAACCCCUGUCAUGUGGGAGCAAAUUAAAAAGAUAGUACCACAAGAGGAAGAGACGGCUAACUCUGUGCCAGCAGCCGCGGCAAUACAGAGGUCUCAAGCGUUGUUCGGAAUCACUGGGCGUAAAGCGUGCGUAGGCUGUUUCGUAAGUCGUGUGUGAAAGGCGCGGGCUCAACCCGCGGACGGCACAUGAUACUGCGAGACUAGAGUAAUGGAGGGGGAACCGGAAUUCUCGGUGUAGCAGUGAAAUGCGUAGAUAUCGAGAGGAACACUCGUGGCGAAGGCGGGUUCCUGGACAUUAACUGACGCUGAGGCACGAAGGCCAGGGGAGCGAAAGGGAUUAGAUACCCCUGUAGUCCUGGCAGUAAACGGUGCACGCUUGGUGUGCGGGGAAUCGACCCCCUGCGUGCCGGAGCUAACGCGUUAAGCGUGCCGCCUGGGGAGUACGGUCGCAAGAUUAAAACUCAAAGAAAUUGACGGGGACCCGCACAAGCGGUGGAGUAUGUGGCUUAAUUCGAUGCAACGCGAAGAACCUUACCUGGGCUUGACAUGUAAUGAACAACAUGUGAAAGCAUGCGACUCUUCGGAGGCGUUACACAGGUGCUGCAUGGCCGUCGUCAGCUCGUGUCGUGAGAUGUUUGGUUAAGUCCAGCAACGAGCGCAACCCCUGUUGCCAGUUACCAGCACGUGAAGGUGGGGACUCUGGCGAGACUGCCCAGAUCAACUGGGAGGAAGGUGGGGACGACGUCAGGUCAGUAUGGCCCUUAUGCCCAGGGCUGCACACGUACUACAAUGCCCAGUACAGAGGGGGCCGAAGCCGCGAGGCGGAGGAAAUCCUGAAAACUGGGCCCAGUUCGGACUGUAGGCUGCAACCCGCCUACACGAAGCCGGAAUCGCUAGUAAUGGCGCAUCAGCUACGGCGCCGUGAAUACGUUCCCGGGUCUUGCACUCACCGCCCGUCA
rnacentral:rRNA from 1 species